GUUUGAUUAUGGCUCAGAACGUACGCUGGCGGCACGCCUAACACAUGCAAGUCGAACGAAGUAGCAAUACUUAGUGGCAGACGGGUGAGUAACAUGUAGGUAUCUACCCUUUGGCCUGGAAUAACACGAGGAAACUUGUGCUAAUACCGGAUAAGUCUUUACGGAGAAAGCUUUAUGCACCAUUGGAUGAGCCCGCACUAGAUUAGUUUGUUGGUAGGGUAAUGGCCUACCAAGACUAUGAUCAAUAGCUGAUUUGAGAGGAUGAUCAGCCACAUUGGGACUGAGACACGGCCCAAACUCCUACGGGAGGCAGCAGUGGGGAAUCUUGCACAAUGGAGGAAACUCUGAUGCAGCGAUGCCGCGUGAGUGAAGAAGGCCCUUGGGUUGUAAAGCUCUUUCGUCGGGGAAGAAAAUGACUGUACCCGAAUAAGAAGGUCCGGCUAACUUCGUGCCAGCAGCCGCGGUAAUACGAAGGGACCUAGCGUAGUUCGGAAUUACUGGGCUUAAAGAGUUCGUAGGUGGUUGAAAAAGUUAGUGGUGAAAUCCCAGAGCUUAACUCUGGAACUGCCAUCAAAACUUUUCAGCUAGAGUAUGAUAGAGGAAAGCAGAAUUUCUAGUGUAGAGGUGAAAUUCGUAGAUAUUAGAAAGAAUACCAAUUGCGAAGGCAGCUUUCUGGAUCUAUUACU
rnacentral:rRNA from 1 species